CUAUUAUCUAUAUGUGUGUGUGUGUUUGUGUUUACGUGCUUAAUAAACCCUAUUUAUAAAGGGCAGAAGUUUGCUGAAUGAGCAUUUAGAGCGACCCAACAAUUGUGAUUGAGGGAAACGGGCUGGACGUCCCAUCACUAAACACUUGCUGAUUCAUAAUCUGCAUUUUUAUUUGCCCAGUUUGAAAUGUUUGGAUUAGAUCAAUUCUUGACCUCAUCGCUCAGCUUCCGGGUCCUUCAUUAAAGACGCUGAAACAUCUGGAGUCUCGUCCUCGUUGUGUCUUGAACAAAGACAUGUUCAGACUGUGUUAGUCUGCAGGCCGCUGAGCUGAUCUCCAAUGAAAAACAGACCUGCUGGCAAAUCAAAACAUCCUUUCCAGAAUUAAACAUAUUACCACAGGAAUAAACAAUCCGCUCCGAUGACCAGGGAUUGCUGUCUGCACUCGGCAUGCUGAUCGAAAGAAACGAUAUCACUAGCACUGUGAACACAUCUCGCUUUUAUAUUUGCAGAAGUAGAGGACCUGAAGGAGAACAGGCAGUACAGAGGGAGCAGAGAGAGUCUAAAACAUUGUUUUUCUUUUACCACUUUUUUCCAUCGUGGACACAUCUCGCUCUUUCAUAUUUGCAGAAGAAGAGGACCUGAAGGAGAACAGGGAGGACAGAGGGAGCAGAGAGAGUCUAAAACAUUGGUGUGUGACACUAUAAAUUAAUAAAAUACAGUAGUUUACUGUAAAAUAUUAGAUUUUCAGGGUUUCUACAACUUUAACUAAAAUUCUGGCAGCUUAUCAAAAUAAGUUAAAGCAGCAUAAAAAUAUUUGUUGUCAUAACACUUUUUACGGUGUAGUUUACUGUAAUUGUUUGGUGUUUUGAUAGUUUUUACCGCUUUUUUUUACGGUAAACCUUCUGGAUUUUUAAAUGUUGUGAUUGGAUAUAUACCUCAGUCAUGUGACA
rnacentral:lncRNA from 1 species